CAGUAGCCGCGGUAAUACGGAGGGGGCUAGCGUUGCUCGGAAUCACUGGGCGUAAAGGGUGCGUAGGCGGGUCUUUAAGUCAGGGGUGAAAUCCUGGAGCUCAACUCCAGAACUGCCUUUGAUACUGAAGAUCUUGAGUUCGGGAGGGGUGAGUGGAACUGCGAGUGUAGAGGUGAAAUUCGUAGAUAUUCGCAAGAACACCAGUGGCGAAGGCGGCUCACUGGCCCGAUACUGACGCUGAGGCACGAAAGCGUGGGGAGCAAACAGGAUUAGAUACCCCGGUAGUCCCUGUCUCUUAUAC
rnacentral:rRNA from 1 species